CCUACGGGUGGCAGCAGUGGGGAAUAUUGGGCAAUGGGCGCAAGCCUGACCCAGCAACGCCGCGUGAAGGAAGAAGGCUUUCGGGUUGUAAACUUCUUUUCUGAGGGACGAAGAAAGUGACGGUACCUCAGGAAUAAGCCACGGCUAACUACGUGCCAGCAGCCGCGGUAAUACGUAGGUGGCAAGCGUUAUCCGGAUUUAUUGGGUUUAAAGGGUGCGCAGGCGGAGGUGCAAGUCAGCGGUCAAAUUGCGGGGCUCAACCCCGUACUGCAGUUGAAACUGCAUCCCUUGAGUGCGCGAGAAGUAUGCGGAAUGCGUGGUGUAGCGGUGAAAUGCAUAGAUAUCACGCAGAACUCCGAUUGCGAAGGCAGCAUACCGGCGCGCAACUGACGCUCAUGCACGAAAGCGUGGGUAUCGAACAGGAUUAGAUACCCUUGUAGUC
rnacentral:rRNA from 1 species